rnacentral:rRNA from 1 species
GUCUAUGGCCAUACCACCCUGCAUGUGCCUGAUCUUGGAAGCUAAACAGGGUCAGCCUGGUUAGUACUUGGAUAGGAGACCCAUUGGGAAUACUGGGUGCUGUAGGCU